CCAUAAAAAGAUAGAUUGUAUGUAACUAGAAAUUCGUAUGAAAAAUGUUGCCAUGUAUGGGCCAAAACAACUUGCUCCAACUCAUUAUGCAGGGAAAGAUUCAAGGAAAAAGAAGCAUAGGGAGAUGCAGAAUAUCUUGGCUGCGCAACUUGAGAGAAUGGUACGGAUGAACAUCAAAUGAACUUUUCAGAGCAGUCGUCUGCAAAGUCCUAAUAGCUAAGAUGUAUUGUCAGAGAAAUAGCAAAUAAUCCCAAAAAAGUGCACCAAAAUUGAGAGAUGAGGUGGAAACACAGUUUGGAAAAAUAGGUAACCCUAAAACAAUUAAACGGAUAUUACAAAAGAAUAAUCUACCUACAUAGCUGAACUGCAAGAAAUAAAUCUUUUAUCAGCCAAAGAAAUAAGCAACAAGGAGUUUUGUUUUCUUUAUUAAUAUUCUCCUUUAAAAGUUUACAUCAUUUUAGCUGAUAUCAAAAUCGUACACAAAAUAAUUAAAGAACUAUUGUUGGUUCUAGUUUACUGAAUGGGUAGACGGAUUACGGAUAUGAAAUUUAUACCAAUGAAUUCUGUUUCACUUACUGAUAAUUGUACAAUAAUUUUUUAUUGGGGGCGGGCGUUACUUUUCAUGUAAUUGCAAUUUAAAAUAUGUCUUAUUUUUAAAAAUCGCCGCCAUUUUCCGCCAUUAUAUACCAUGAAACAACAAGAAACGACAGGAAUGACAACCGUUUUAUAAACGCAAGAAGGAGAAUCCUAACAGUGUUGCCAUAGUUAUAUAAAAUAUGUUUUCUUAUGAAAAUUACAAUUUUUCAAUUCUUAAAUAUGUCAUUUUACUUAUUCUGACGCAUUUUUAACACAAAAUGACUGCUUUAUUACAAGGGUCAGGUUAGUUCUGGUUAGGUUUCGUUACGUUAGGUUAGAUUACAUCAAGUUUAUUAAUAUUAUAGUGAUUUAUGAUUAUAUUUUAAUAAAUAAAUUCUGUGGGAUUCCCAGAAUACACUUUCAAGGUUGGAAUGAAAUUUUGUGUAUUUCAUGGUUAUGUACUGUCACUGAUUUCGGGAAACCAUGUUGCCAUGUGAAUGACAAAAGAUAAUUUCACAUGAAAACAUCGAUUUUUGUCCAUUUAAGCGUACCAUUGAUUUGGAAUAUUUAUGCAAACCUCUAAAUUUGGCAACUGUUUUUGAAAAAUUGGUAGAUGCAUGCAUUGACGCAUUUUUUAAACAGUUUAUUGUUAGUUUUUAGUUUGUUAGGUCGGUUGUUUGUGCUGCGCCCUGGAUUUGGGCGUUGUCUGUUGCAUCAUAUACAAAUUUGUGAAAGUGAAGUUAGUUUAUCGGGUUUGGACCGAAGGGUUAGGCCUUCCUCCUUUCAGACCGCCUGCGCCCAAUUGCAAUCUGCCCAGUUUAUCAUUAAAUAAAGGUGAAGUGAGACUAAAUGGUGUGUAGGUGUUACGAAAGUAAAUUUAAGUACAAUUAAGGUGUGGCUUUAAUACCUAUAUUCACAAAGAAAAGGCCUCUUUCGAAGCUAGUAAACUGCAGGCAGAGGAAAUAAAUAUGUUGGUGGCAACUUUUAUUACAUUUAAAGCCACGAAUUUGGCUUUGGACUCUCAAAUUGCAUCGAUCUAUAGCUGUUUUG
rnacentral:lncRNA from 1 species